GUAGGGAAUCUUCCACAAUGGACGAAAGUCUGAUGGAGCAACGCCGCGUGAGUGAAGAAGGUCUUCGGAUCGUAAAACUCUGUUGUUAGAGAAGAACGUGCAUGAUAGUAACUGAUCAUGUAAUGACGGUAUCUAACCAGAAAGCCACGGCUAACUACGUGCCAGCAGCCGCGGUAAUACGUAGGUGGCAAGCGUUGUCCGGAUUUAUUGGGCGUAAAUGGAACGCAGGCGGUUUUUUAAGUCUGAUGUGAAAGCCUUCGGCUUAACCGAAGAAUAGCAUUGGAAACUGGAAGACUUGAGUGCAGAAGAGGAGAGUGGAAUUCCAUGUGUAGCGGUGAAAUGCGUAGAUAUUCGGAAGAACACCAGUGGCGAAGGCGACUCACUGGCUCAUUACUGACGCUGAGGCUCGAAAGCGUGGGGAGCAAACAGGAUUAGAAACCCUUGUAGUCC
rnacentral:rRNA from 1 species